rnacentral:rRNA from 1 species
AGUGGCGAACGGGUGAGUAACACGUGGGCAAUCUGCCCUGCACACCGGGAUAAGCCUGGGAAACUGGGUCUAAUACCGGAUAGGACCACUUGGCGCAUGCCUUGUGGUGGAAAGCUUUUGCGGUGUGGGAUGGGCCCGCGGCCUAUCAGCUUGUUGGUGGGGUGACGGCCUACCAAGGCGACGACGGGUAGCCGGCCUGAGAGGGUGUCCGGCCACACUGGGACUGAGAUACGGCCCAGACUCCUACGGGAGGCAGCAGUGGGGAAUAUUGCACAAUGGGCGCAAGCCUGAUGCAGCGACGCCGCGUGGGGGAUGACGGCCUUCGGGUUGUAAACCUCUUUCACCAUCGACGAAGGUCCGGGUUCUCUCGGAUUGACGGUAGGUGGAGAAGAAGCACCGGCCAACUACGUGCCAGCAGCCGCGGUAAUACGUAGGGUGCGAGCGUUGUCCGGAAUUACUGGGCGUAAAGAGCUCGUAGGUGGUUUGUCGCGUUGUUCGUGAAAUCUCACGGCUUAACUGUGAGCGUGCGGGCGAUACGGGCAGACUAGAGUACUGCAGGGGAGACUGGAAUUCCUGGUGUAGCGGUGGAAUGCGCAGAUAUCAGGAGGAACACCGGUGGCGAAGGCGGGUCUCUGGGCAGUAACUGACGCUGAGGAGCGAAAGCGUGGGGAGCGAACAGGAUUAGAUACCCUGGUAGUCCACGCCGUAAACGGUGGGUACUAGGUGUGGGUUUCCUUCCUU